UACGUAUGGAGCAAGCGUUAUCCGGAUUCACUGGGUGUAAAGGGAGCGCAGGCGGCUUUGCAAGUCUGAUGUGAAAGGCCGGGGCUCAACCCCGGGACUGCAUUGGAAACUGUAAAGCUAGAGUGCCGGAGGGGUAAGCGGAAUUCCUAGUGUAGCGGUGAAAUGCGUAGAUAUUAGGAGGAACACCAGUGGCGAAGGCGGCUUACUGGACGGUAACUGACGCUGAGGCUCGAAAGCGUGGGGAGCAAACAGG
rnacentral:rRNA from 1 species